GGCGUAAAGGGUACGUUAGGCUUUUUUGUAUGUCUCCGGUUGAAUUCACAGGCUCAACUUGGGACUUGCCGGAAAACCUGCAGAGAUUGGAAUCCGGAAGGGGGAAAGCGGAAUUCCUGGUGUAGCGGUGAAAUGCGUAGAUAUCAGGAGGAACACCAGUGGCGAAGGCGGCUUUCUGGUCCGGAAUUGACGCUGAGGUACUAAAGCGUGGGUAGCAAACAGGAUUAGAUACCCUGGUAGUCCACGCCCUAAACGAUGGAUACUUGAUGUCGGGAUGUUCGGUCGUCUCGGUGUCGUAGCUAACGUGUUAAGUAUCCCGCCUGGGGACUACGGUCGCAAGACUGAAACUCAAAGGAAUUGACGGGGGCCCGCACCAGCGGUGGAACAUGUGGUUUAAUUCGAUGCAACGCGAAGAACCUUACCUGGGCUUGACAUAUAUAUGAAGUAUGUAAGAAAUUAUGUAUUCUGUCUGUUUUUUCAGAUAGCAUAUAUACAGGUGAUGCAUGGCUGUCGUCAGCUCGUGUCGUGAGAUGUAGGGUUAAGUCCCUUAACGAGCGCAACCCUUGCUUUUAGUUGCCAUCAGGUAAUGCUGGGGACUCUAGAAGGACUGCCGAGGUUAACUCGGAGGAAGGUGGGGAUGACGUCAAGUCAGUAUGUCCCUUAUGUCCAGGGCUACACACGUGUUACAAUGGACGGUACAGAGUGCAGCUACGCCGUGAGGCUACGCAAAUCACUUAAAGCCGUUCCCAGUUCGGAUUGGAGUCUGCAAUUCGACUCCAUGAAGUUGGAAUCGCUAGUAAUCGCAGAACAGCAUGCUGCGGUGAUACGUUCCCGGGCAUUGUACACACCGCCCGUCACGCCAUGGAAGUUGGGAGUACCCAAAGUUGCUGUC
rnacentral:rRNA from 1 species